rnacentral:misc_RNA from 1 species
AAAGCGUUUGUAGUCCCGGUUCGUAACCUCUCUUUAGUCCCGGUUUUUAAACCGAGACUACCAAUCUGGGACUAAAAAUCGCUAUCUUUAGUCCUGGGUGAAAUAACUGGGACUAAAGAUGGCUCAGUCACGUGGCCGGCUGAGCCAUCUGUUACCAACCGGGACUAAAGAUCGAGCUGA